rnacentral:rRNA from 1 species
GCCGCGGUAUCCUAACCGUGCAAAGGUAGCAUAAUCAUUUGUCUAUUAAUUGUAGACCUGUAUGAAAGGCAAAAUGAGAGCCCAACUGUCUCUUAUAACAAAUCAAUAAAACUGAUCUCCUAGUACAAAAGCUAGAAUACUAACAUAAGACCAGAAGACCCUGUGAAGCUUUAACAAACCCAUUAAAUCAAAUAAUGAUUACUUUCGGUUGGGGCGACCUUGGAAUAAAAAAGAACUUCCAACAUAUGACCUGCUCAUAAAAUAAGGCAAACAAGCCAAUACUAGACCCAGCACAGCUGAUAAUUGAAAUAAGUUACUCCAGGGAUAACAGCGCUAUCUUCUUUAAGAGCCCAUAUCAAAAAGAAGGUUUACGACCUCGAUGUUGGAUCAGGACAUCCCAGUAAUGCAUCCGUUACUAAAGGUUCGUUUGUUCAACGAUUAACAGUCCUACGUGAUC